UACGAAGGUGACAAGCGUUAUUCGAAAUCACUGGGCUUAAAGGGUGCGCAGGCGGAAACAUAAGUGUCUUGUGAAAACCCCCGGCUUAACCGGGGAAUUGCUCGGCAUACUGUGUUUCUUGAGGCAAGCAGGGGUGUGUGGAACUCUUGGUGGAGCGGUGGAAUGCGUAGAUAUCAAGAGGAACGCCGAAGGUGAAGACAGCACACUGGGCUUGUCCUGACGCUCAGGCACGAAAGCGUGGGGAGCAAACAGGAUUAGAUACCCUGGUAGUCCACGCCUUAAACGAUGUCAACUAGGUUGUAGAGGCUCUGACGCCGUUACAGCCGAAGCAAAAGUGUUAAGUUGACCGCCUGGGGAGUACGGUCGCAAGGCUAAA
rnacentral:rRNA from 1 species